GUGCCAGACUAUCUGAAUUUCUAAUACAAUGACGGAAGGCUUCUGGGUACAGUCAAGUACUUGUAAAAUCUGUGUGUUGAUCAAGAUGGGAUUGAUCCCUCUAGAUUAUUAGAGUUAAUGGAUCAUCAUAUUUUAAUUUAGUAAAGCAUUGAUCAAGAUAAUUCAUGAGAUGGAUUUGAAAGGUUGAAAUACAAUGUGGAUGAAGCAAUCUCAAUUGACAGUUAACCUG
rnacentral:lncRNA from 1 species